AGGAAAACUUCUGGGCCUGGAAGGGAGGGAGGGGAAGGGGAGAGAAGUGACUGGUGCCGAUGGGUUUCCGUUGGGUGGAAACAUCCCUGUGCCUGUUUCGUUUUGGAGCAGGAACGAUGUCAACAUUUGGGACAAAGGCCAGGAAGAAGGUGACUGAGCGGUGCUAUAGGGUUGGUGGUGGCACCGAGAACCCCUGUGGGGACUGUCUGUCUGGGGAAGGACAUCCUUCCUUCCAGCCCCUUUGGUGCAUCACGGCCUACACCCAAAUUGGGUCCCCAAGACCAUGGAGGAGAGAAUCUCGCCACCAAGGAGAGAAAGGGCUGGGAAACAAAGAAAUGCCUUUAUUCCCCAAGUGCCAUGAAGCUGCCAGCAUCUAGGCUGUGUUCCCCAUGCAAGGAGGGAGGCCACGGACAUGUCCAGGCUGGAGCCCAGCCCUGAAGUGGUGCAGGUUUGGUGGCCACGUUGUGGUGAUGUUGGUGUCUCUCAGCUCCUUCACCUGCUGCACCUGGAAGGAAGGCACCACGGCCCCAUCCCAGCCAAGGGCCAGGGAAAAGGAAAAACUCCCCAGUUCUGAGCCCCAACAAGGAAACGAAACCAACUGGAAACAAGAAAAUACAACAGCAUCUUCACUCCAAUUUUCAAGAGUUUUUUUUUUUUUUUUUAAAAAAAAAAAGGCUAUUGUGCUACCAGAGCUAUUCUUUCUGGGGAGAUAAUGUAAAGCAUUGCUUCGGAGCUGGCCAAAAUGUCUGAGGAACAUUCCUCCCCCCCCCCAUUUUCAUUAAAAUUCAGAUCAACAUUACAAGUGAGAUAAGAAAAGAAGCGCACAGUUACCGUUCUGCCGCACUCUGUGAUCAC